AAUUCGAUUCUGGUGGAUGAACGCCGGCAGGAUGCACACAUGCAGUGAACGGCAGCACACGGACUUCGGUCUGGUGGCGAGUGGCGAACGGGUGAGUAAUGUAUCGGAACGUGCCUAGUAGCGGGGAUAACUGCAGCGGCUAAUACCGCAUACGCCCUUCGGGGAAAGCGGGGGACCUUCGGGCCUCGCACUAUUAAACUGACCGAUAUCCGGAUUAGCUAUCAGUUGGUGGUAACGCUCUGGGCGACGAUCGUAGCUGGUUUGAAGGACUGACCAGCCACACUGGGACUGAGACACAUGAACUCCUGCGGGGAGGGCAGCGGUGAAAAUUUUGGACAGCCGAAACCUGAUCCAGCCACAUCCCGCGUGCGAUGAAGGCCUUCGGGUUGUAAAGCACUUUUGUAGGAAAGAAACGGCACGGGAUAAUACCCCGUGCAACUGACGUACCUGCAGAAUAAGCACCGACUAACUACGAUGCCAGCAACCGCGGUAAUACGUAAGUGCAGAAAAUUAUCCGGAAUUACUGGGCGUAAAGCGUGCGAGCGGUUCGGGGGAAAGAAAGAUGUGAAAUCCCAGAGCUUAACUUUGGAACUGCAUUUUUAACUACCGAGCUAGAGUGUCAGAGGGAGGUGGAAUUCCGCGUGCAACGGUGAAAUGCAUGAAUAUGCGGAGGAACACCGAUAGCGAAGGCAACCUCCCUGGAGGAUAACACUGACGCUCAUGCACGAAAGCGUGGGGGAACAAGAAGCAAGGAUUAGAUACCCUGUUAGUCCACGCCCUAAACGAUGUCAACUAGCUGUUUGGGGCCUUCGGGUGUUGGCUGGCCAACACGCGCGUGAAAGUUGACCGCCUGCAGAGAUACAGUCGCAGAUUAAGAAACUCAAAGGAAUUGACGGGGACCCGCACAAGCGGUGGAUGAUGUGGAUUAAUUCGAUGCAACGCGAAAAACCUUACCUACCCUUGACAUGUCUGGAAUCCCGAAGAGAUUUGGGAGGUGCUCGCAAGAGAACGGAACACAGGUGCUAUGGCUGUCGUCAGCUCAGUGAUAGUGGGAUGUUGGAGGUUAAGUCCGUAACGAGCGCAACCCUUGUCAUUCAGAUUCUUCCGAAAGGGCACUCUAAUGAGACUGCAAGUGACAAACCAGGAGGGAAGAUUGGGGAUGACGUCAAGUCCUCAUGGCCCACUAUGGGUAGGGCUUCACACGUCUAUAUAAUGGGUCGGGGACAGAGGGUCGCCAACCCGCGAGGGGGAGCCAAUCCCAGAAGCGAUCGUAAGUCCGGAUGCAGUCACCCAGCUCGACUGCGUGAAGUCGAAUCGCUGGCUUGUCGCGGAUCAGCAUGCUCGCGGUGAACCGUUCCGGUCUUGUACACACCGCCCGUCACCAUGGGAGUGGGAUUUUACCAGAAAGUAGUUAGCCUAACCAUGGGAGGCGAUUACCACGGUAGGAUUCAUGACUGGGGUGAAGUCGUAACAAGGUAG
rnacentral:rRNA from 1 species